rnacentral:ribozyme from 1 species
CUUUUCUUCUACUUUUCUUUACUUUUUCUUCUUCUCUUUAUUUCUUUCUUUUUUUAUUUCACAGAAUCGCUCAGGACGGAACGACCUCUCAUCUAGUUAAUAAAACAGUAGUAAACACCAUCAUUCUCUGGCCGAUCAUUAAAUUUAUGAUAAUAAGUAAAAUUCGAAGUAUAUUAAAAAAAAAAAAAAAAAAAAAAAA